rnacentral:rRNA from 1 species
UACGUAGGGGGCAAGCGUUAUCCGGAAUUAUUGGGUGUAAAGGGUGAGUAGGCGGCAUGGUAAGCCAGAUGUGAAAGCCUUGGGCUUAACCCGAGGAUUGCAUUUGGAACUAUCAAGCUAGAGUACAGGAGAGGAAAGCGGAAUUCCUAGUGUAGCGGUGAAAUGCGUAGAUAUUAGGAAGAACACCAGUGGCGAAGGCGGCUUUCUGGACUGAAACUGACGCUGAGGCACGAAAGCGUGGGGAGCGAACAGG